CUCUCUCUCUCUCUCUCUCUCUCUCUCUCUCUCUCUCUCUCUCUCUCUCUCUCUCUUCGUUUCUUUUUAAAUCUUUCAUUCUCAGCUUCGUAUUCCUCCCAAGUUCUCUCGACCCAUCCUCUAUUCUCUCUCUCCAUCUCGCGACUCUAGAUUUCUCUUCAUCUUGCUGAACCACUCUCUCUCUCUCUCUCUCUCUCUCUCUCUCUCUCUCUCUCUCUCUCUCUCUCUCUCUCCGUUUUUGAAUUUAUGUAUUAUUUUGUUUAUGAAUUUGAUGAUCUGUGAUUUUUGUUUGCAGAAGAAGGAAAAUAUUACUCCGAUUGGCUUGAAGAUCGUGGUAAUUUCAACUCCAUGUCUUUUUGCUUUUCAACUCCUCCUCACCCAUUGUUGUUGGUGUUGGUGUUGCAGUGAUGGUGAGAGAUCGACGGAAGAUGGAAGAUGGAGAAAAAGUUUUGUCUCUUUGUUGGAUAAAUGGAUAAGACUGACAGAAGAAGGAAAAUAUUACUCUGAUUGGCUUGAAGAUCGUGGUAAUUUUAACUCCAUGUCUUUUUGCUUUUUAACUCCUCCUCACCCAUUGUUGUUGGUGUUGGUGUUGCAGUGGUGGUGAGAGAUCGACGGAAGAUGGAAGAUGGAGAAAAAGUUUUGUCUCUUUGUUGGAUAACUGGAUAAGACCGACGGUGGUGGUGAGAGAUCGACGGAAGAUGGAAGAUGGAGAAAAAGUUUUGUGUCUUUGUUGGAUAAUUGGAUAAGACCGACGGGUAAGAAGACGUCCACCACACAUUCCACAAUUCCAUAUCCCAGAGGAACCACUUUUAGAGUUUGCUGCAGCUCUGAGGAUAGAGAUCAACCGUGUUUUUAUUGUUCUGCGUGAUAUUGCGUCAGGAACCAUCAACCGUACUCCAUCAGUUAAUUUAAUGCAAUACAUGAUGGGAUAUUUGAAUAAAAAUAGACAGAAAUGUAUCAUUUUUCGCAUUUGAAAUAGUGGGUUUGGACUUUUGGAGGCACGAUCACAUCACAUGGCCUCCUUUUGUCGUUAUUGAAUUCAACAAAGUAAAGGUAAAAAUCUAGAUUUUUUUGUUUGUAUUUA